GAUGAACGCUGGCGGCGUGCCUAAUACAUGCAAGUCGAGCGAACGGACGAGAAGCUUGCCUCUCUGCUGUUAGCGGCGGACGGGUGAGUAACACGUGGAUAACCUAUCUAUAAGACUGGGAUAACUUCAGGAGACCGGAGCUAACACCGGAUAAUAUUUUGAACCGCAUGGUUCAAAAGAGAAAGACGGUCUUGCUGACACUUAUAGAUGGAUCCGCGCUGCAUUAGCUAGUUGGUACGGUAACGGCUUACCAAGGCAACGAUGCAUAGCCGACCUGAGAGGAUGAUCAGCCACACUGGAACUGAGACACGGUCCAGACUCCUACGGGAGGCAGCAGUAGGGAAUCUUCGACAAUGGGCGAAAGCCUGACGCAGCCACGCCGCGUGAGUGAUGAAGGUCUUCGGAUCGUAAAACUCUGUUAGUAGGGAAGAACAUAUGUGUAAGUAUCUGUGCACAUCUUGACGGUACCUAAUGAGAAAGCAACGGCUAACUACGUG
rnacentral:rRNA from 1 species